UCGUCACUGGUGACGUCUUUCCAACGGC
rnacentral:piRNA from 1 species